rnacentral:tRNA from 1 species
GCCGGCUUAGCUCAGUGGUAGAGCAGCGCUUUUGUAAAGCGAAGGCCAUCGGUUCAAAUCCGUUAGCCGGCUUCA